rnacentral:rRNA from 1 species
GAGGAAUAUUGCGCAAUGGACGAAAGUCUGACGCAGCCAUGCCGCGUGCAGGAUGACGGCGCUACGCGUUGUAAACUGCUUUUAUAUGCCAAGAAACCUUCGGACGUGUCCGAAGCUGACGGUAGCAUAUGAAUAAGCACCGGCUAACUCCGUGCCAGCAGCCGCGGUAAUACGGAGGGUGCAAGCGUUAUCCGGAUUUAUUGGGUUUAAAGGGUCCGUAGGCGGAUCAUUAAGUCAGUGGUGAAAGCCGGCAGCUCAACUGUCGAACUGCCAUUGAUACUGGUGAUCUUGAAUACUGUUGAAGUUGGCGGAAUAGGUCAUGUAGCGGUGAAAUGCUUAGAUAUGACCUAGAACACCGAUUGCGAAGGCAGCCAACUAAGCAGUUAUUGACGCUGAGGGACGAAAGCGUGGGGAGCGAACAGG